GAUGAACGCUAGCGGGAGGCCUAACACAUGCAAGCCGAGCGGUAUUGUUUCUUCGGAAAUGAGAGAGCGGCGUACGGGUGCGGAACACGUGUGCAACCUGCCUUUAUCUGGGGGAUAGCCUUUCGAAAGGAAGAUUAAUACUCCAUAAUAUAUUGAACGGCAUCGUUUAAUAUUGAAAGCUCCGGCGGAUAGAGAUGGGCACGCGCAAGAUUAGCUAGUUGGUGAGGUAACGGCUCACCAAGGCGAUGAUCUUUAGGGGGCCUGAGAGGGUGAUCCCCCACACUGGUACUGAGACACGGACCAGACUCCUACGGGAGGCAGCAGUGAGGAAUAUUGGUCAAUGGGUGCAAGCCUGAACCAGCCAUCCCGCGUGAAGGACGACUGCCCUAUGGGUUGUAAACUUCUUUUGUAUAGGGAUAAACCUACCCUCGUGAGGGUAGCUGAAGGUACUAUACGAAUAAGCACCGGCUAACUCCGUGCCAGCAGCCGCGGUAAAAC
rnacentral:rRNA from 1 species